UACAGAGGGUGCAAGCGUUAAUCGGAAUUACUGGGCGUAAAGCGUGCGUAGUCGGUUAUCUAAGUCGGAUGUGAAAUCCCCGGGCUCAACCUGGGAAUUGCAUUCGAUACUGGAUAGCUAGAGUUCGGCAGAGGGAAGUGGAAUUUCGGGUGUAGCGGUGAAAUGCGUAGAUAUCCGAAGGAACAUCAGUGGCGAAAGCGACUUCCUGGACCAGAACUGACGAUCAGGCACGAAAGCGUGGGGGAGCAAACAGGG
rnacentral:rRNA from 1 species